UACGGAGGGGGCGAGCGUUAUUCGGAAUUAUUGGGCGUAAAGGGCGCGUAGGCGGCUUGUUAAGUCAAAGGUGAAAUCCCUCGGCUCAACUGAGGAACUGCCUUUGAAACUAACGAGCUUGAGGCCGGGAGGGGGUAGCGGAAUUCCCAGUGUAGCGGUGAAAUGCGUAGAUACUGGGAGGAACACCAGUGGCGAAGGCGGCUACCUGGACCGGUACUGACGCUGAGGCGCGAAAGCGUGGGUAGCAAACAGG
rnacentral:rRNA from 1 species